rnacentral:tRNA from 1 species
UCUGUAGCUCAGCUGGAUAGAGCAACGGCCUUCUAAGCCGUAGGUCGUGGGUUCGAAUCCCCCCAG